rnacentral:rRNA from 1 species
CCUACGGGGGGCAGCAGUGAGGAAUAUUGGUCAAUGGGCGCGAGCCUGAACCAGCCAAGUAGCGUGAAGGAUGACUGCCCUACGGGUUGUAAACUUCUUUUAUAAAGGAAUAAAGUGAGUCACGUGUGCCUUUUUGUAUGUACUUUAUGAAUAAGGAUCGGCUAACUCCGUGCCAGCAGCCGCGGUAAUACGGAGGAUCCGAGCGUUAUCCGGAUUUAUUGGGUUUAAAGGGAGCGUAGAUGGGUUGUUAAGUCAGUUGUGAAAGUUUGCGGCUCAACCGUAAACUUUCAAUUGAUACUGGCAGUCUUGAGGACAGUUGAGGUAGGCGGAAUUCGUGGUGUAGCGGUGAAAGGCUUAGAUAUCACGAAGAACCCCGAUUGCGAAGGCAGCUUACUAAACUGUGACUGACAUUGAUGCUCGAAAGUGUGGGUAUCAAACAGGAUUAGAUACCCCAGUAGUC